rnacentral:lncRNA from 1 species
AGAUUUUGGGUGUUUUUGCGUCCCACCUCCCCCCUGGAACGGGUUUGUUCCACGUCUGUGGAACACACUGUUUUACCAUUUUAAGACAAAUAUACCCUAUGUAUUUUUCAAAAAUUACACCUUCGUUCCGUCCCGUCUCGUCCCGUCCCGUCUGCGUACCAAACGCACCCUUAGGUAUCGUUUGGUAUGCAAACGGGACGGAAUGGGACGGGAUGAGAUGGGACAGGACGGGACAGAACAGAGAGGGAGCAAAGAUGCCCUCGAAUGGAAACAAUGAGGAAGGAGAUGGAGAGGUUAUAAUUUUGUGUUCCACGGAUGUGGAAAGAGUCGUUCCAGGGGGUGAGACGGAACGGAAAUUCACCCAAAAUUUGUCCCGUGGAAAAGCGCUUUCCACCCGUUUUAGGCGCACCAAACGUGGAACGGAACACCUCAUUCCACUCCGUUCUAUCCUGUCCCACGUACCAAACGGUACCUUAGCAUUCAUGCUCGUAAUUCUUGCACACCUAUUAGAUACAACCGUAUAACUUCACACCUUGAUUCCCCUACUUGCUUUCCCUGGUUCGUUAAACAGAGUAGGAGAUCUAUUGAAUCUUGCUUUAUUGAUGUUGAGUAAAUCUUGCACACCUAUUAGAUACAACCGUAUAACUUCACAUCCUAACUAAGAUUUGUGUAAUCAUACUAAUUAUGGUAUCAUUUCCUCUUUCACCCCAAUAAAAUAAAAACUCAAAGUAAUUAAGUUCAUUUACACUUAUUAGCUUUCUUCCUAGUGAAAUUCCAACUAACAAACAACAAUUUCAAGGACCCACAUGAGUAUAUAAACAAUUUUUUUUAAAACACUUGCAGUAUCAACUCUAUCUAAAAAUAAAUAAAUAGAGCAGAAUUAAAUACAAAUCGUGAUGAAUUGACUGAGUUUUCAAAAGACAACAAUAUGAUUACAUUGUUUCUAGAAACUCUCUUAGGUAAACAAUUAAGGCUUCUGUAAUCCCACGUCUUGCCCUAAAUUAUGUCCCAAUCUUCUUUGGAGUGACACACUAACAAAGAAAAGGGUAGUGGUUUAGUAGAAUAAUUAAGGAACCCAUAUAUCACAUUUUUCUAGUUUAAGGUGUUUCACUUUUCUAGAAAUGUUAAUUAAUCCAAGAAUCUGAGAUUUUGAUUCGGUGACAAAAAAACGUAUGAGAAUCUCAUCCAACUAAGGUUGGUGGGUCUGAUGAUAAAUAAAAAUCAGAAUAAGGAUAUUCUACUAAUUAUUUGAUCUAAGUGAUAAAGUUAGGAUUUUUUUUUUUUUUUUUUUUGGAAGUGUUGAGACUAACAAGGCGUUCUCUUACUAGAAAUGCAUUCAAAUGGACAUAUCUACGCACGGAUAGUGUACCAUUGGAAUGCAUGAUAUUUAUAUAUGUUAUAGGUAGUGCAACUGAAACAAUAUAUAUUAAUUUUAAUAGAUAUUUUAAGAGAAUUUAUCUCCUCUUGGUACGUAUUAAUUUGUCAACAUUAGUGUUUCAAGCGCAAUCAAAUAUUUUUUCAUGUGAUAUGUGGCUUCCAAUGAGUUGUGUUGUACGAUGUAAGUUUAACUUCUCAUGUUUAGUUGAUUCAUUACUUCUUAAUACAACGAUAUUAGGUGUCGAAUUACCAUUUCAUAUAUAUGAAUUUAACUUAAGAUCUAUCACUUAUAACCAAAGAGAAACAUUAUUAAGUAGCAAUGCUAGUGGCUUGUUUCGUUACUUGUUAGAGUAAUAUAUGUAAUUGUACAGACCGUCCAUCGAUUUUAGUUUUUCAGUUCCAGAUCUUAUAUUUGCUCUAACAUUAUCAAAUGAAAAUUAAAGUCAAUGCAUAAAACAAAAUCAUUCAAAAAGUAAAGUAAAAAGCACCAGGUUCCCCCAUUUUGAUGAACACACCGUCAAUACCAUAGAAUUCUAAUGGCAUCACCAGAUUAUAUUUAAUUCAGAGUUUUCAGUGACUAAUUGGAACAAAUCUCCUUAAGAAGUAAGCAAAUCCAACACCUGGUAAAAAACCCAUUAGCCCUCUAAGUAAUUUUCAAGUUCACAACAUUCCACCACCCACUUAUUCCUACUGUAAAAUUUGUUAUACUAUGCUUAGCUUCUAGUUCUUCUUGUCCUAACAUGCAUGCAGAAGUUCUACAUAUACGCGGCUUAAAGCCAUGGGAUUCUUUGUGUAUCUUUUGUCUCACUUCACAUUAAACCAAAAGAUUUAGAUCCACCCAAAACAAUAUCUUAAGCUUUGGUUUCCAAAAAUGCUUAUCUUGAGCCAAGUAUAGUUUAAGGGAAAUGAUUUCCGCUAUCAUAUUUUUCUUACGUAUACAUCUAUUUAUUUAUGUUUGUUGAUUCUCCUUUGAUUUAUUGUUAUUCAUUAAAGAUCAUAAAUGAGCAAUAGUACCAAGGGAGAAAAAACAAUGUUUUCAAAUCGCUUUCCUACCCUAACUACAUAGCAUUUGUAGUUGAUAAUGCUAAAGACAGUUGCACUUGUCAGCUGUUAGUGCAUCAACAAUAAUACUACCAGAAAAUACCAUUUCCCCGACCACAUUUUGCUAGACAAAUCUCCCUUCGUUUGCAAAAGGGACUUUACUCGACGAAAACAAAAAAGUGAUUGGGCAAAUCUGGACCAUCUAGGGUUUUAUAUGUCAGAGGUUUUGCUUGACGAAAUAUUUUUGCAAGGCACGCUAGGCCAUGUUUUGGCGCCAGGGGAAAAAUGGAUCUUAUUGUGUAAAAGUUUGCUCGACAAAUCUUCCAGAUUUCAUCGCACAGGUGUAAUUUAGUGUUUAGGGUUUUUAUUUUGUUGAGUAAAAGUGAGAGACAUGGUUGGCAUAUUUUAAUUCCUUCAAUGAUUUUCGCAGUCUGCAAAAUUAAUUUCAACAAUCCAACCAUCAAACGUGUUUGUAUAUACUCCAAGAUUGCAUACCAAAAACAAACUUUCAUGGAUUAAGUAUGGGACGAUAUCCUCCGACAGUUAGAAACCAAAAUUCACGAUUUAACGGUCACUUUAGCUCCGAUUUUGAUGUUUUUUUUACUAUACAAUCGUUGACCCUAGCAUAAUACAAUGAGCGAACCUGGUCAUCAAUGUAAAAUAUUUACACUAGUGGAUAUCGCAAAAUCUUACUUUCUACUUAACGGAAGUAUACAAUAAACUUUGUUUUUAAAUCAAUUGUUUUGACGGGACAAACAUUCUACAAAACUAGUUUCAACGAUCCAACUGUCAAACUUGUUUAUAUAUACUUCUGGAUCACAUAUACCAAAAAUCACAAAAUCAUACUCUUGUACACCUAUGAGAUAAAACCCUAUAACUUCUAUCAUAUCCUAAUUAAGAUUUGUGUAAUCAUACUAACUAUGGUUUCAUUUCCUCUUUCACCCAAAUAAAAAUAAAAAAACUCAAAAUAAUUAGGCUCAUUAACACUUAGCUUUCUUCCUAGUGAAUUUCCAACCCAACAAACAACAAUAUCAAGGAUCCACAUGAGUUUAUAAGCAUUUUUUAUAACACACUUGCAACAUUCGACUCCAUGUGAAAGAAAUAAAUAGGAAAAAUAAGAUAGAGAUCACGAUGAACUCACUGAAAUUCAAAAGACGACAACAUGAUUACAUUGCUACUAGAUAUUUUCUUAGGUAAAAAAUUAGGGCUUUUGUAACCCCACGUCAUGCCCUAAAUUCUAUCCUUAUCUGCUUUGGAAUGACACACUAACAAAGAAAGGCGUAGGAGUUUAGUAGAAUAAUGAAGGGACCCACAUCACAGUUUUCUAGCUUAAGGUGUUUCACUUCUCUAGAAAUGUUAAUUAGCCCAAGAAUCUGAGAUUUUGAUUCGGUGACAAACAAACGUAUGAGAAUCUUAUCCAACUAAGGUUGGUGGGUGUGAUAAUAUAUAAAAAUUAGAAUAAGGAGAUUCUACUUCUUUGAAUAAAGUGAUGAAGUCAGGAUUUUCUUAAAGUGUUGAGACUUGAGACUAACAAGGCGUUCUAUUAUAGAAAUGCAUUCAAAUGUACGUAUCUAACUGACAUAUAAUGUAUCAUUUGAAUGCAUGACAAUAAUUUAUAUAUAUCAUCGUUAGUGUCGUUACAACAAUAUAUAUUAGUUUUAAGAGAUAUUUCAUGCGAGUUUCUCUCCUCUUGUUACGUAUUAGUUCGUCAACAGUGGUGCUUCAAGUUCAAUCAGAUAAUUUUUCAUCCAUGAUAUGUGGCUUCGAAUGGGUUGUGUUGUACAAUGUAAUUUCAACUUCUCAUGUUUAGUUGUUUCAUUACUUCUUUAAUACAACGAUAUUAGUUGUCAAACUCGCCAUUUUAUAUAUAUGAGUUUAACUUAAAUUCUCUUGUUUAUAACUAAAGAGAAACAUUACCAAUGCUUAGUGGCCUGUUUCAUUACUCGUUAGAUGUAUUUAAUUGUACUGGCAGUCCAUGGAUUCUAGUUUUUCCGGAUCUUAUAUUUGCUCUGGCAUUAUCAUUGAAAAUUGAAGUUUAAUGCAUAAAACAAAAUCAUUCCAAAAGUAAAGGGAGAGGUUUUGCUCACCACCCUAAACUUUGGUGUAUGCUCAUUACACAUCUAAUCAUUUGUCUUUUUACUUAACCUUGGUAAACUUUUUUUAAAAUUGAAAAUGUAACAUUUAAUGUGAAAAUUAACUAGAAUUAAGUGAAAUGAUACAUAAUAAUUGAUUAAGUGAAUGAUGAACAUACACCAUAGUUAUGAUGACGAGUAAAAUGCAAUGUAAAAAUAAAGUGAGCCGAGUUUUAGAUACGGGAUCGACAAUUUGACCAAAACAAGAUGUCCGAUCAACAAAACACACCCCAUAGCCCAGUCCAACUCAACNNNNNNNNNNNNNNNNNNNNNNNNNNNNNNNNNNNNNNNNNNNNNNNNNNNNNNNNNNNNNNNNNNNNNNNNNNNNNNNNNNNNNNNNNNNNNNNNNNNNNNNNNNNNNNNNNNNNNNNNNNNNNNNNNNNNNNNNNNNNNNNNNNNNNNNNNNNNNNNNNNNNNNNNNNNNNNNNNNNNNNNNNNNNNNNNNNNNNNNNNNNNNNNNNNNNNNNNNNNNNNNNNNNNNNNNNNNNNNNNNNNNNNNNNNNNNNNNNNNNNNNNNNNNNNNNNNNNNNNNNNNNNNNNNNNNNNNNNNNNNNNNNNNNNNNNNNNNNNNNNNNNNNNNNNNNNNNNNNNNNNNNNNNNNNNNNNNNNNNNNNNNNNNNNNNNNNNNNNNNNNNNNNNNNNNNNNNNNNNNNNNNNNNNNNNNNNNNNNNNNNNNNNNNNNNNNNNNNNNNNNNNNNNNNNNNNNNNNNNNNNNNNNNNNNNNNNNNNNNNNNNNNNNNNNNNNNNNNNNNUUCUACAUGUUUCCCGUUUCUUUUUGUUGAUUGAAUAUUAACAUACAUUAACAGUGAUUUCAUCACGAUCUUUUCAUAUCGAUCAGUUUAUGAAGUGCUAUCCAUUGCAACGAAAUGAUACUUAAAAAUAGAACUCAUCUUAUCAAUCUCCAUAUCUAAAACAACACAAUCAAGAAACGAAAAUCUUAUGCAAAAUUCAACCCAGUAAUGUAUAACCAAUUCUUCAAUGCAACAAACACUAGAUCCGUUACAUGUUAGUAAAUGCAUUCAGCCCUGUAGUCUCAUUUCCUGGUUCAAAGUUUUAUAGUAUUGGACAAGUUAGUGAAAGGCAACUACAUCAUCGAGCUUCCAAAAAGUAGCAGUUUAAAAAUUCUGUGACGUCAACCGUGGCUGAGAGCAUUAAAAUGCAUGAGAAACAUGUGACCAGAAGAGAUGCAAUAGGUCUAGAAUAAUAGAUCAAGACAACAUGUAAAGCAAGAAUUUUUUAGUAUAAAGGGAUAAAAAAACAUAUAAACCAGGAAACUAUUAAGAUCGAAAAGCCACCAUCUAAACAAAACAUUACACAGAACUAGAGAACCAAAUGCACAUUGGUUUCUACACACCAAGGAAAAUUUACAAACCAACCAAUUUGCACAAAAAGAGAGUAGUCCUCAAAUCAUGGCAUGGAUUCUCUUUGUUCUAGAAGAACUUGUGCAUAAUGUAAAUUGGCAUCGUCGUCACGCCAGUUAAGCAUCCGAUAGACACCACCCAGUUAAGCAUUAUACACACCAUUAGAUAAAACAUUGCGGAACUACAAGAACAAACAUAAAUGAACCUUGUUUCCACACUUCAAAGAAAGUUAAGAAAGUGUACAACUUGAUCGAAUUUCGGACAAGUGGGUUCCUUUGUUCUAAAAGAACUUGUGCAGAAUGCAGUGCAAUCACCAUUGUUGUCCCUAACAGUUAAGCAUCAGAAAAACACCAAGUCCCAACCCAGUAAAGAAUUACAUUUCUAUUGGUAAAAUUACGCUUUAAUCUUCAGAACUAAUUUAAUCAGCAAACAAGAGCAAUUUUCACAAAAACAUUAAUUAUGAUUUAAAAUAAAAUAAAUAUAAAAUAACCCAUUAAAAAAACAAAAAAAAAACUUAACUUGCUGUUGCUGAGAUGCGAGAGUGAUCAAGGGAACAAAGCUGCGAGAUCUAUGAGAAGGAGGGUGUGAGAUCCAGAGGGCAACGAAAAUCAGAGACGGAGCUGGGGGAUGCUCAUCGAUGCGUAGUGGUUGGAGAUGGCCGGAGAUGCAAUGGAAGCCGAAGGUGGAAAAACUCGGCCUUUGUUUCUAUCGUGGUGCUUUUGUUUGGGCUCUUGUUUGUUCGUGACAAUGCGGUGGAUUGGAAAAACAAUCCCAGCAAGUUCAGCGUUUCCAAUCCACCGCACUUGUCACUGAACAAACAAGAGCCCAAACAAAAGCACCACCGAUAGAAACAAAGGCCGAGUUUUUCCACCUUCGGCUUCCAUUGCAUCUCCGGCCAUCUCCAACCACUUUACGCCAUCGAUGAGCAUCCCCCAGCUCCGUCUCUGAUUUUCGUUGCCCUCUGGAUCUCACACCCUCCUUCUCAUAGAUCUCGCAGCUUUGUCCUGAUCACUCUCGCAUCUCAGCAACAGGCAAGUAAGUUUUUUUUUUUUUUUUUAAUGGGUUAUUUAUUUAUUUAUUUAUUUUAAAUCAUUAAUAUGUUUGUGAAAAUUGCUCUUUGUUGCUGAUUAAAUUAGUAUCUGAAGAUUAAAGCGUAAUUUUACCAAAUAGAAAUGUAAUUCUUUACUGGGUUGGGACUUGGUGUUUUUCUGAUGCUUAACUGUUAGGGACAACAAUGGUGAUUGCACUGCAUUCUGCACAAGUUCUUUUAGAACAAAGAGAACCCACUUGUCCGAAAUUCGAUUCAAGUUGUACACUUUCUUAACUUUCUUUGAAGUGUGGAAAACAAGGUUCAUUUAUUGUUUGUUCUGUAGUUCCGCAAUGUUUUAUCUAGAUGGUGUGGUAUAAUGCUUAACUGGGUUUGGUGUCUAUCGGAUGCUUAACUGGCUGUGACGACGAUGCCAAUUACAUUAUGCACAAGUUCUUCUAGAACAAAGAGAAUCCAUGCCAUGAUUUGAGGACUACUCUCUUUUUGGCAAAUUGGUUUGGUUUGUAAAUUUUCCUUGGUGUGUAGAAACCAAUGUGCAUUUGGUUCUCUAGUUCUGUGUAAUGUUUUGUUUAGAUGGUGCUUUUCGAUCUUAAUAGUUUCCUGGUUUAUAUGUUUUUUUAUCCCUUUAUACUAAAAAAAUUCUUGCUUUAACAUGUUGUCUUGAUCUAUUAUUCUAGACCUUAUUGCAUCUCUCUGGUCACAUGUUUCUCAUGCAUUUUAAUGCUCUCAGCCACGUUGACGUCACAGAAUUUUAAACUGCUACGUUUUUGGAAGCUCGAUGAUGUAGUUGCCUUUCACUAACUUGUGCCAAUAUACUAUAAAACUUUGAACCAGGAAAUGGAGACUAAGGGCUGAAAUGCAUUUUACUAACAUGUAUACGGAAUCUAGUGUUUGUUGCAUUGAAGAUAUUGGUUAUCACAUUUACUGGGUUGAAUUUGCAUUAAGAUUUUCGUUUCUUGAUUGUGUUGGUUUUAGAUAUGGAGAUUGAUAAGAUGAGUUCUAUUUUUAAGUAUCAUUUCGUUGUCAAUGGAUAGCACUUCAUAAACUUGAUCGAUAUGAAAAGAUUCGUGAUGAACAUCACUGUUAAUAUUUUGAUAGUUAAAUAUUUCAAUCCAACAAAAAGAAAGACGGGAAAUAUUUCAUGUAGAAUAUAUGUUUUUUAAUUUAUUGUUUUAUGCCAUAAUGAUAUAAGAAUUGUUUAUUUUAUUCAAUUUCUAUUUUUAAUGUGAAAACAUUUAUUAGAUAGUUCAAUUUUAUUGUAAAUCAAACCCAAACUAGUGUUAUUUAACUAAUCAAUCUUCUUAACCCCAUAUUAGACCAAACCAAUCUUGGUAUUAUUACUCAUUUAAGAUGUGAACUUUAUGUGCAGGUGACAACAAAGAUGGGAGAUAAGAUAUGAACACCUUGGUUAAUUGAAUCUAUAUUCAUCCUCAAAGCUAUUUGAACAUCUUCAACGUAAACACAAUGACCUUCUCUACUUUCAGAUCCCAAACCUAGCCCUACUGAAAUGGUGGGACCAAGGAGACACUUCCUCCCACUCCUCCUCUUUUCUCUCUCCGUCCUCUUCUUCUUCUCCUACUACCACUCCUCUCUUCCCCACUCCCCCCCAAGCCCUAACCCUAAAUUCACUCUCCUUCCCCAAAAUUCUAACUCUAACCCCAAUUUCACCUUCAUCAUCAAGGUCCUUGCCUUCAAUCGGCUUGACUCGGUAGCUCGCUGCCUACGUUCCCUUGCUGCCGCUAACUACCUCACUGACGAGGUCCAUCUCCAUGUCUACGUAGACCAUUUUGCCCUCGGGGAUCCCCCUUCAAACAUUGAUCAAAAGUUGCAGGAGUCGCAUCACAUUUUGGAGUUUGUAGAUGGGUUUGAGUGGAAAUUUGGGAACAAACUCAUCCAUUACCGGACUGCAAAUGUUGGCCUUCAGGCCCAAUGGUUGGAGGCCUGGUGGCCCAGUUCUGACAACGAGUUCGUUUUUGUUGUGGAAGAUGACUUGGAGGUCUCACCGCUGUAUUACAAGUUCCUGAGAAGUCUGGUUGUGAAUUACUAUUACAAUGCCUCUAACUAUCGUCCCUACAUCUACGGGGCAUCACUGCAGCGACCAAGGUUUGUCCCAGGUACCAUCCUAUUUUGGUUUCUUUGUUUGUUAUUUUUCUUUAGAAUAUCAAUCUUGGAAUGCCUUAUUUCUAAUUUAGUUACCCAAAAAGGAAAAUGUAAAAGGGCUUAUGGUUAGUACGAGUACUGAAUUUCUUGUACUUUGAGCAUUGUCCGAUACCUGAUUCUGAUCUGAAUGAUGUAGGUUGGCAAGAAUGUUAUAAGAUACUAGUUUGCAUGAUUGUAUUAUGUAAAGGCAAAUCAAAUUUCAGUGCUGAAUAUUUGGAUUUCAGUUUUGAAUAUUUGGAUUUGAAAAUAAGGUUGCAAUUAAAUCCUCUUUUAGCUUGGCAUAUUUCUUUUACUUUUUUGUUCAUGAAAACGAAUGGAAAAGAAAGGGAGAACCUACCUUUGUAAUUUCCAUUUAUUUGAUUUGUUGUUGGCACACAGUAGCAAACUACAAUUGGAUAAAUUUUAUUUGAUUUGUUGUUGCCUUAUAGGUAAACACGGGAACAAACUACAAAUGGAUGAUAGAACACGACUCUUCUUGUACCAACUAGUUGGCACUUGGGGUCAGCUUCUCUUUCCUAAACCUUGGAAGGAGUUUAGGAUGUGGUAUGACGAUCACAAGGCAAAAGGCAUUAAGCCAUUUCUUGAUGGCAUGGUACUUUAUUACCUUUUAAAAUUCGGUUUCUAGAUUUUUUUUUUUUUUUAAUUUUAGUUUUUUUUACUAUCCCCACUUAGUGGGAAAAGGCUAUGUUGUUGUUGUUUAGUUUUUUACAAUCUCACUCAUUCCUCAGUUGAGAUGUUAAAUUCAUGUGCAGGUGACAACAGGGUGGUAUAAAAAGAUGGGAGAGAAGAUAUGGACACCUUGGUUCAUUAAAUUCAUUCAUACCCGUGGCUAUUUUAAUAUCUACACCAAUUUUUUGCACGAGAGAGCGCUCAGUGUCUCUCACCGGGAUGCUGGUGUUAAUUAUGGGAAAACAGCUGGGCCUGAUUCCCAUGUACUGGAUAAAAGUUAUCUUGAUUCAGAUUUUUGGGAUAUGCAACCAUUGAGUGAUCUUAAGUGGUAUGAUUUUUGUUUCAGAGAAAAAUUUCCUGACAGAGUUGUUGGGAGCCUUGAUGAACUCGGGUCUGUUCUUAAUUCUGUGCAGAAACAUGACACCAUUAUUAUUGUGAGCCUAUUUGGGGUAUCAGAGCUGGCAGUAAGGAACUUGCUCUGCCACUUUGAAAGUCUAAAUAUAUGGAACUAUGUACUUAUUGGCCCUGAAUCUGACUUCGUGUUUGAUCUGGCAAGAAGAGGACAUCCGGUGAUUGGUACAAACCAGUUCCUGAAGAGUGUUGGAGCUUACAAAUUGAUGUCUCUCUCCAAGAUUCAUAUGUGGAAAUGAUCAAGGUCUAUGUAUUAAAAAAGUGUUUUAGAAUCUGGGUACAAUGCCUGGGUGGUGGAUGGGAACAUGCUUCCUCUCAGCAGUGACCUUUUUGUUGAGUCUGAUCCCUCAUACGAUUUCUACGUAGGGAAGAGCUCAGAACUUUUCUUUGCCAGAAGAUCUUUCGCUCAGAAUAUUGGUGGUGAUGAUUUUAUAUCCAAAUUUGCAACAAUGGCGAACUCUUUGCUAGUAAGACAGAGCAUAAGUUUUGGUUAUAUAAUGGCAAAGCUUUUGGAAGAGAAGGGUGUGAAGGUCAAGAGUCUGGACGAGACAAGCCUUGGUCUCAUGAUCGUUAACAGUAAUGUUAAUGAAUCUUUGGGGGAUGGAAAACAGAUGGUCUUUUGGUCUCGUGAUAUGGCUUCAGAUUUAGUUCAGAAGCGGCUUCAAGAAUUCGGUAUUUGGACUGUAGAUGAUGACUUGUCUUGCAAGGCUGUUGUUUGUCACCAGUCAUAGCAUCUGAUACCAGUUGUACACAUUUGAUCUCAUGAUUUCAAUUUUGAUUGUAACCUAUAUGUAGCCAUUUGCUUUUUGAAUUUUGACUUUCGAUUUUUUCCCAGGCAUGAUUUUCAUUUGCCAAGUUAUCGGGAAGAUUGUGGUUUGACAUGCAUGUGUGAGCUUGGUAGCACAUAAAGUACGGGAAAAAUUCAGGUGUCCCGGUGUGUAAACCUGUUUGUUCCUUUAGGUACCGUUUGGUACGCAGACAGGACAGAACAGGACGGGACGGGACGAAACGGAUGAUGUAAAUAUUGAAAAAGAUAAGGAGAAAUUUUGUCAUAAAAUGUUAUAAAUUUGUGUUCCACGGAUGUGGAACGGGUCGUUCCAGGGAGAAGAGGUGGAACGAAAAAUUAGCCAAAUUUCGUUCCAUGGGACAACCCCUUCCACAGUUUUUAAGUGCACCAAAUGUGGGACGGAACGGGACGAGGCGUUCCGUCCCGCGUUUGGUACGCCAAAAAUGGGUUGAACGGGCUGUUCCACGGGACAGAUUUUGGGUGUUUUUGCGUCCCACCUCCCCCCUGGAACGGGUUUGUUCCACGUCUGUGGAACACACUGUUUUACCAUUUUAAGACAAAUAUACCCUAUGUAUUUUUCAAAAAUUACACCUUCGUUCCGUCCCGU